rnacentral:lncRNA from 1 species
CGGAACUUGUCAUCCAGUCGGCUCAAUGCCCAGGCGCCGGAGUUUGUGCCUACUCGCUCGACGCCUCAGCAGCAGCAACAACAGCAGCAAAGUAUGAGGAUGAUGAUCCCUCCUCCUCCGCCCCCUGGGAUCAUGCACGUCUACUCUCCUCCUCCUGCGCCGGCGGGGGCGGCGUUUCACCUCCCCGUGCCUAUGCCACCUCACUUGGUUCCCGUUCCCCAUCAUAUGUCCAUGAGAAAUCAUCAUCAUCAUCC